rnacentral:rRNA from 1 species
GACGAACGCUGGCGGCAGGCUUAACACAUGCAAGUCGAACGAACCUUCGGGUUAGUGGCAGACGGGUGCGUAACACGUGGGAACCUACCUUAAGGUACGGAAUAACUCAGGGAAACUUGUGCUAAUACCGUAUAUGUCUUCGGAUGAAAGAUUUAUCGCCUUAAGAUGGGCCCGCGGCUGAUUAGUUUGUUGGUGGGGUAAUGGCCUACCAAGACUACGAUCAGUAGCUGGUCUGAGAGGAUGAUCAGCCACACUGGAACUGAGACACGGUCCAGACUCCUACGGGAGGCAGCAGUGAGGAAUAUUGGACAAUGGGGGCAACCCUGAUCCAGCCAUGCCGCGUGAGUGAUGAAGGCCUUAGGGUUGUAAAACUCUUUCACCGGUAAAGAUAAUGACGGUAACCGGAGAAGAAGCCCCGGCUAAUUUCG